UAAAAACGUUUUGCUUUGUAAAUACUUCAGAGGUUUAAGAUAUUCAAUUUAUUAAAUGAGGCCUUGAAUGUUGUAACAGACCCAAAGGUAUAAACCUAAAACAAAUAUGAAUAUUUUAAUACAGAACCAUGCAUUAGUCAUUGCAAUGGUCACGUCUUCUUACACCAGCUUUUGUUAGGGUGCCAGAAAUACUCACUAUUAAUACUACAAUACAAGUAUGGCUAAAUAUGCCUAUAGAACAAAAAUCGGGUAGUUUAAAAAAGCUGAAUGUGAACACUGUAAUGGAAAAAGUUUACCUUUGUGCUCAUUCUUAUCCAACACAGUCAACAUGUGCUGGUUAGGUGCAACACUGAACAUUCUUACACAAACAACUAAACUCUUGUGCUGUCGUACAUCAAGUCUAAACAUCUGAUGUUCCAUUUGACUGAUAUAAUUUAUAAUAUAUGUUUGUCUUUUACACCCGGACUCUGGCUCCAUCCUAUCUGACUCCCCACCAGACCCAAGGCUGUUAAAGCGAAUGCAUCUUGUCUUGGAAGCUCGGUGUUCCUUUCUUUGGAUAACAAGACAUGACGAUGCAGAAGUGAGAAAGCAAACAUUCUCACUCACAGCGAGAUAAGGUGGCGCAAACAAUUCCAUUGGUGCAGAGAGACAUUCCACCAAAGCCACAGAAAGGGGUUAAAAGGCAGAAGCAACUUGAGGAUCGUGGGCUCUUUGCAUCACACCUUCGUGGUGUGUGCAAUGAUCUCCCCAGCUGGUUUUUGGUUUGUUGAUGUGCACGAUCAACAUCCAUGCUUUUUAUUUGCUUUCCCAAUUAUUUUUUUUCUUUAUUAUUUCAAUAAAUCGCACAAAAGGACAACUCUCUGCUUCUUUAUGGAAAAUUUACACCACAGAAAUUGGCAUCUACGAACAGGAUCCGCUGCAGGUCGUCUGGAAGGUGUGACCAGGGACGAUAGUCCUGAGGACUAGGGUCGCUCAGCCUCCAAACCUCUACAGACAUUCAGAGCUGGGAGGACUGCACACCCGUCUGGAUCGCCUCUGACGAGAUUCACGAACUCAGAUUCAAACUCAAAUCUUAACUUGGCUCAGCCAGUGAGAGAGAUUCCUUUGAUUUGGGAAAAACAAAAAGAUUGGAACUUUUAAUUUUAAUUUAGCUGAAACAUUUCAAUUGGUUGAAAAAAAAGAAAAGAAAAGAAAUCUUCUAUUUGGUUGAAACACUAAAUUUGAUUAGGAAAGUUAAUUAGAUCGAAAAAGAAAAAAAGUCCCAAUAAUACACGUUCUUAAUUAGGUGAAAGUCUGCUCUGGGUGGUGAGACGUCGGUUGCUAAGGGUUGGCUCGUGGAACCGAGCUUUCGUCUGUACUGAGGAUACAGACAUGUUUUUUUUUAUCUGUGCGUGGUCCACACGUGGGGGACUGAGUAUAAAAGACGGCUUCUGAAAGAUGGAGCGCGUUUGCAGAGUGAAGUAUUUUCAAGAUACGAGGGACCCGGGCCUAGAGGGGCCUAACGUUGAGGAAAUACUUCGGGAAAGGCUCUGUCGCCAGAUCAGGUUGGUUCCCUUUUUACGGAGACGUCCGAUAAAAAGGCAUUUUGGGAAGGUUCGGGCCGGAACACACAAAAAAUCUAAGGCAGGAAACCGCUGGACUCUGAAAGACGGGUUCGGGGAAAUUUGAGUCUUCACCACCAGACAGAAACCGUACAAAACUAAACAACUGAGCGCGAUGAGGGUAAAUCCGGAUCUGGACUCCUUUCCCACCAUCAGCAGAAGAACCGAAGGAGAAGAAGCGCCUGAUCAACAACCAGAACAGGGUGGAAGCUCUGAUACCACAGCAGCUGGAGGACACAGACCACAGCAUGGACGCCUCACUGACCCCACGUCUGCAGCCAUCACGUUCUGGGCUCAUCAGAUGAACCAGCUACUACAAGCGUGUGUGUCUGACACAGACACCUGCUCAUGACAAUCAGCAAAGGAAAACAAGGACAGAGCAACAGCAGAGCGAGAAGACGUGCUCUGACACAGACACUGGUUGAAACAACAGGAGAGGCUUCAGACGUGAUCGGCCCAAAAGAGCUGCAUCUGAGGAUCCAGGAAAGGUCUGUCAUCGAGGAACAACUGUCCCAUCGAAAGGCUUCACCCACUGGCGCUCACAUCAGACUGAUGGUUGGGGAAGGAGGAAGGUGACGGUUCCUUUUCACGUGACGUACAAGACGGUACCACAAACACACACACAUUCAUACACGCAACGAAGAAACACGCUUACAGCUGAUACACGCUCAAAUUCAUGUUCAUGCUUAUCUGCUCGCAAUGAAGAAUCGCUUUUUGCUUAAAAAAAUCCCACAGAGUGAUUUUAAAAUGAUGACAAACAGCUAAAUGACAACUGCUGCAUGACUUUACAGUCUGAUGGGUUUAAUCUAUUUUAACUUGCAACAAAUUCAGUAAUAAAAUCCUUCAUGUUUCUAAAAAGAUUUGUGCACAAUAUAGGUUUGUCUGGCCAGACUAGAAGACUGUAGGAAAACAAAACAAAACAUACUAUAGGAAGACUGAAACUGACUGAAACAGACUAUUAAUGACUAUUAAAGGGAAGACGACUAUUAGAGAGAAGUAAUAAUAAUUACUGCACGUACCAGACUAUUAAAGAAAAACUUAUUCUUUCACUGUGCAACAUCUGACAUCAGACACCUUAACAUUAAUUUUUGCUUUCAAACUUAUGCCCAGUUAAAUUCUUAAGAAGAGAUCUCAUGUGUAGUUUAGGUAUUUGAUGUAUUUCCACUCCAGACGGAGUGCAGGUUACAUCUACAGACAUUCUAAAUAAUCCCUCUUUUGUUGCUGUUAACUUCAGCUCAGCUGUGCUCUUAUCAUUGGCUGCUGAGGGGGGGCUGUAACUGAGGCCCUCACACAGGCUGCAUCACAGCUUGUUUCCAUGUGAUACGACCUCCAGAAACACAUCUGACCUGUCCUGUACAGCACAUGUGUCUUCUGGUCCUGAUGAUAAAUUUGAAGAGUUAUUAUUUCACACACACUCAAACUGACCUCAACUUCCCUCUUUUGGGAUGAACACAGGUCUGCGCUUACGAUUUCUUUUACUAACGAACAAAAAGAUUUUUGAUUUUUGUUCUACAGUUCCACACGUCCCUCUGUGAAAACAUGAUGGAGACAGAUGCAGGACGUGGGUCCUUUCGUGAACAGAUGUUAACGGGGUGGAGACUGGUAAACGACCUCUGACCCCAUGUGACGUAUUUACCUAGUUUGCAUACUUUAUAAUUUUUUUUAUUCUGCCUGUUAUGUGCAGCAAACAGUGAACUUGGUACCUCCACAUUCUAAUGACACACUACAUGCUUUUGUUUUUAUUUUCAUUUUUCAGAGGACGCUCUGACCCAACACUCAGCCUUACAGGAAGCCCUGCUUCCCUGUGGCUCACACACAGAUAUAAUGUAGGUUUGAUCAGAGGAUGUGAACCAGGGGUCAUCACACCUAAAUCUGACCACAGACCAUGUAAACAACAACACCCUCUUAAAGGAAGCCAUAGAUGGCGUUACUGCAGACACCACUAAGAUACUGAAUCAUUGGAUGCUACAGGCCACAAAGAGCCUGUCUAAAUUACAGUUUGUUCAGACAAAGGUUAUUUUCUGGGUCAUUGUAAUUACAGCUGAUGGCAAAUCCA